rnacentral:rRNA from 1 species
UACGUAGGGUCCGAGCGUUGUCCGGAAUUAUUGGGCGUAAAGAGCUCGUAGGCGGUCUGUCGCGUCGGCUGUGAAAUCCCGAGGCUCAACCUCGGGUCUGCAGUCGAUACGGGCAAACUAGAGUAUUGCAGGGGAGACUGGAAUUCCUGGUGUAGCGGUGAAAUGCGUAGAUAUCGGGAGGAACACCUGUGGCGAAGGCGGCUUUCUGGGCCUUACCUGACGCUGAGACGCGAAAGCGUGGGGAGCGAACCGG